rnacentral:misc_RNA from 1 species
CAGGACUCGCAAGACUCCCGUAAACCACUGUGAACCUACCAUUGUUGCCUCGGCGGGUGCUCGAGUCUAGCGCUCAGCCCGCCGGUGGCCCCCUACUCUGACUCACUGCGUUGGCAUCUCAGAGAAUACACAAACCAAUUA